GAUGAACGCUGGCGGCGUGCCUAAUACAUGCAAGUCGAGCGGACGGACGAGAAGCUUGCUUCUCGGAUGUUAGCGGCGGACGGGGGAGGAAUACGUGGAGAACCUACCUAUAAGACUGGGAUAACUUCGGGAAACCGGAGCUGAUACCGGAUAAUAUUUUGAACCGCAUGGUUCAAGAGUGUAAGACGGUCUUGCUGUCACUGAUAGAUGGGUCCGCGCUGCAUUAGCUAGUUGGUAAGGUAACGGCUUACCAAGGCAACGAUGCAUAGCCGACCUGAGAGGGUGAUCGGCCACACUGGAACUGAGACACGGUCCAGACUCCUACGGGAGGCAGCAGUAGGGAAUCUUCCGCAAUGGGCGAAAGCCUGACGGAGCAACGCCGCGUGAGUGAUGAAGGUCUUCGGAUCGUAAAACUCUGUUAUUAGGGAAGAACAUAUGUGUAAGUAACUGUGCACAUCUUGACGGUACCUAAUCAGAAAGCCACGGCUAACUACGUG
rnacentral:rRNA from 1 species